GACGAACGCUGGCGGCGCGCCUAACACAUGCAAGUCGAACGAGCGAGAGAGAGCUUGCUUUCUCGAGCGAGUGGCGAACGGGUGAGUAACGCGUGAGGAAUCUGCCUCAAAGAGGGGGACAACAGUUGGAAACGACUGCUAAUACCGCAUAAGCCCACGGUGCCGCAUGGCACAGAGGGAAAAGGAGUAAUCCGCUUUGAGAUGGCCUCGCGUCCGAUUAGCUAGUUGGUGAGGUAACGGCCCACCAAGGCGACGAUCGGUAGCCGGACUGAGAGGUUGAACGGCCACAUUGGGACUGAGACACGGCCCAGACUCCUACGGGAGGCAGCAGUGGGGAAUAUUGCACAAUGGGGGAAACCCUGAUGCAGCGACGCCGCGUGGAGGAAGAAGGUCUUCGGAUUGUAAACUCCUGUUGUUGGGGAAGAUAAUGACGGUACCCAACAAGGAAGUGACGGCUAACUACGUGCCAGCAGCCGCGGUAAAACGUAGGUCACAAGCGUUGUCCGGAAUCACUGGGUGUAAAGGGAGCGCAGGCGGGAAGACAAGUUGGAAGUGAAAUCUAUGGGCUCAACCCAUAAACUGCUUUCAAAACUGUUUUUCUUGAGUAGUGCAGAGGUAGGCGGAAUUCCCGGUGUAGCGGUGGAAUGCGUAGAUAUCGGGAGGAACACCAGUGGCGAAGGCGGCCUACUGGGCACCAACUGACGCUGAGGCUCGAAAGUGUGGGUAGCAAACAGGAUUAGAUACCCUGGUAGUCCACACCGUAAACGAUGAUUACUAGGUGUUGGAGGAUUGACCCCUUCAGUGCCGCAGUUAACACAAUAAGUAAUCCACCUGGGGAGUACGACCGCAAGGUUGAAACUCAAAGGAAUUGACGGGGGCCCGCACAAGCAGUGGAGUAUGUGGUUUAAUUCGACGCAACGCGAAGAACCUUACCAAGUCUUGACAUCCCUUGACAGGCAUAGAAAUAUGUAUUCUCUUCGGAGCAAGGAGACAGGUGGUGCAUGGUUGUCGUCAGCUCGUGUCGCGAGAUGUUGGGUUAAGUCCCGCAACGAGCGCAACCCUUAUGGUCAGUUACUACGCAAGAGGACUCUGGCCAGACUGCCGUUGACAAAACGGAGGAAGGUGGGGAUGACGUCAAAUCAUCAUGCCCUUUAUGACUUGGGCUACACACGUACUACAAUGGCGUUAAACAAAGAGAAGCAAGACCGCGAGGUGGAGCAAAACUCAGAAACAACGUCCCAGUUCGGACUGCAGGCUGCAACUCGCCUGCACGAAGUCGGAAUUGCUAGUAAUCGUGGAUCAGCAUGCCACGGUGAAUACGUUCCCGGGCCU
rnacentral:rRNA from 1 species